rnacentral:tRNA from 1 species
GGCCUCGUAGAUGAGCUGGUAGACCGUGUGCGUACUAAGCGUAGGCGGCGUUCAUUCGUGAGUUCGAAUCCCAUCGAGGCUA